UACGUAGGGGGCUAGCGUUGUCCGGAAUCAUUGGGCGUAAAGCGCGCGUAGGCGGCCCGGUAAGUCCGCUGUGAAAGUCAAAGGCUCAACCUUUGAAUGUCAGCGGAUACUGCCGGGCUAGAGUCCGGAAGAGGCGAGUGGAACUCCUGGUGUAGCGGUGAAAUGCGUAGAGAUGUGGAGGAACACCAGUGGCGAAGGCGACUCUUUGGUCUGUAACUGACGCUGAGGCGCGAAAGCGUGGGGAGCAAACAGG
rnacentral:rRNA from 1 species